AUACGGAGGAUGCGAGCGUUAUCCGGAUUUAUUGGGUUUAAAGGGUGCGUAGGCGGUUUUUUAAGUCAGCGGUGAAACGCAAGGGCUCAACCCUUGACCUGCCGUUGAAACUGGAGGACUUGAAUGCGGAUGCUGUGGGAGGAAUGUGUGGUGGAGCGGUGAAAUGCAUAGAUAUCACACAGAACACCGAUUGCGAAGGCAUCUCACAAAUCCGUGAUUGACGCUGAGGCACGAAAGUGUGGGGAUCAAACAGGAUUAGAUACCCUGGUAGUCCACACUGUAAACGAUGAUGACUCGCUGUCGGCGAUAUACAGUCGGUGGCCAAGCGAAAGCGAUAAGUCAUCCACCUGGGGAGUACGACCGCAAGGUUGAAACUCAAAUGAAUUGACGGGG
rnacentral:rRNA from 1 species